UACGUAGGGUGCAAGCGUUGUCCGGAAUUAUUGGGCGUAAAGAGCUCGUAGGCGGUCUGUCGCGUCUGCUGUGAAAACCCGGGGCUCAACUCCGGGCCUGCAGCCGAUACGGGCAGACUAGAGUUCGGCAGGGGAGACUGGAAUUCCUGGUGUAGCGGUGAAAUGCGCAGAUAUCAGGAGGAACACCGGUGGCGAAGGCGGGUCUCUGGGCCGAUACUGACGCUGAGGAGCGAAAGCGUGGGGAGCGAACAGG
rnacentral:rRNA from 1 species